AUUGAACGCUGGCGGCAUGCCUUACACAUGCAAGUCGAACGGCAGCACGGGGGCAACCCUGGUGGCGAGUGGCGGACGGGUGAGUAAUGCAUCGGAACGUGCCCUGAAGUGGGGGAUAACGCAGCGAAAGCUACGCUAAUACCGCAUAUUCUGUGAGCAGGAAAGCAGGGGAUCGCAAGACCUUGCGCUUUGGGAGCGGCCGAUGUCGGAUUAGCUAGUUGGUGGGGUAAAGGCCUACCAAGGCGACGAUCCGUAGCGGGUCUGAGAGGAUGAUCCGCCACACUGGGACUGAGACACGGCCCAGACUCCUACGGGAGGCAGCAGUGGGGAAUUUUUGGACAAUGGGCGAAAGCCUGAUCCAGCCAUGCCGCGUGAGUGAAGAAGGCCUU
rnacentral:rRNA from 1 species